GUUUGUUUAAAGGUAUUGUGAACCUAAAACAUAAGUCAUGUAUAGAUUAAUGGGUGCUUAUAUGCUGCUAUAUUGAUGAUUAUGGUUAUAGGCUCUAUCAUGAGGUGGAAAAGAAAAAAUCAGCUAUUUUGUGGGUUGUUAGUACAGUGCAUUUGCAUUUUUCUUGUUGAUAAUUUGUUGGACAUGGACUUUGUGUGAGCAUGUGGCUCUCU
rnacentral:misc_RNA from 1 species